UUUCUUUCUUUUUUUUAAUUGAGACAGAGUCUCACUUUGGAAAUUCAGUAACCACUGGGCUUUGCCAAAUUUCUCAAUAUUGAUUCAAAAUCAAUCUGAUGUCAGAGAGGAAAAUAGGUGAUAAAACUAUGGGCAUCAUAGCUUACAGCAACCUCCAACUCUUGGGCUGAAGUGAUUCUCUUGCCUCAGCCUCCUGAGUUGCUGGGGCUACACGUGCCUGCUACAAUGCCCCGCUAUUUUUUUUUUUUCUUUUACCAGGCAUGGGCCAGAUUCAAUUUUAACAGACCCAGGCUGGAUUCGAUUCACCAGCCCUGGUGCAUGUGGCUGGUGCCCUAAUCACUAAAUUAUCGGCGCCCAGCUGAAAACUGGUACAUUUCUACAGGAGAAAACGGUUUGGUAAGGUAGAUACAUGUUAGAUAAGUACCCAACCAGUUACGUACAAAGCUUGAGAAAUCUGUUUGUGCCUCAGUUUCCCAUUUGUGUCAUGCAAAGUAAAGCCUAUUCUGCUCUAGAUGGGAGUUUAUUAUUCAGUCAACAUGUGAGUGCAUUUUUGGUUAGACUUUUGCUUCAUUAGGGCAGAAGAAUAAAUUCUAAUUUUCUUUCUUUAGUAACAUGGACCUAGAUAUACUGCAAGCCUUCCAGAGGGAAAUCACCUGUGCCAUCUGCCUGAACUACCUUAUAGACCCAGUCACCAUAGGCUGUGGACACAGCUUUUGCAGACCCUGCCUCUCUCUCUCCUGGGAAGGAGCCCCAAAUCCUGCCCACUGCCCAGAGUGCAGAGAACCAUCACAGCAGAGAAAGUUCAAAACCAAUAUUGUUCUGAAGAAUCUGGUGUCCGUUGCCAGAAAAGCCAGUCUCUGGCAAUUCCUGAGCUCUGAGGAACAAAUGCGUGGAACCCACAAGGAGAAGAAAAAGAUGUUCUGUGAAGUGGUCAGGAGCCUGUUGUGUUUGCUCUGCUCUAACUCCCAGGAGCACGGUGUUCACUGACACUGUCAUAUAUAGAGGCAGCUGCGGACCAGCAGGCUAAACUCGAAAAGCAAAUGAGAUCUUUAUGAGACAAGAUCCUGGAAAAUCAGAGAAACCUGAGAGAGGAACAAAUAAUGAUUAACCAUUGGAUGGAAUAUGUGCUUCUAGUGAGAAAAAUGACCAGGAACGAAUAUGCAGAGCUUCACCCAGUUCUCUAUAAGGAAGAAGAACAACAUUUGGAGGAACUGGAAAGGGAGAGCUGGAAUAUUCUUCAGCAACUCGAGAGAAGUGUGGCCCAAAUAAAACAAAAGUGGAAAAAAUGAUAGGAAAUGCAUGAGGAACUGAUGGGCAUGUGCCAUAAACCAGAUGAGGAGCUGCUUCAGCUGGACCAGACCGGGAUCGAAAUCGCCACCCUCGGUGCAUGUGGCUGGUGCCUUAACCACGGUGCAAUGGGCCAGGAGCCUGGGGGUCAUUUUUCUAUCCGCAUAUGAUAUACCACACUACUGCUAGCCAUGCACAACAAACCUCUAUGAAAUUGUGAGUAGUUUCUCCUCAGAAAUUUUCCUUCAAAACUUAUUUAUCUUGAUUCUAGUAAGCAGAAAGAGACCAUUUGGUCGUUUCUUUUCUUCUUCUUUUUUUUUUUUUUUUGUAGAGACAGAGUCUCACUCUGUCGCCCUCGGUAGAGUGUUGUGGCAUCACAGCUCAUAGCAACCUCCAGUUCCUGGGCUUAGAUGAUUCACUUGCCUCCGCCUCCCGAGUAGCUGGGACCACAGGAUUUGAGAGACCUACUGAUGAGGAGUGAGUCUGUGCAGCUGCACAUGCCCCAGCCUGUGUGUCCAGAGCUUAGCGUUAGAGCCAUCACUGGACUGAUGGACAGAUACAGCUGCUACCGGGUGGAGAUUUCUUUCCACUAUGAAGUAAGCAAUCACCACAUCAGGCUGUUUGACGAUUUGUGAGACUUCACAUUUAGAUCUCACAGUCAAGAUCAAUCUUUGAAUCCUGAGAAAUCUAACUGUUUUGCCUCAUGGGGAGACCAGACCUUCACCGCUGGGAAGUAUUACUGGGAGCUGGAUGU